rnacentral:rRNA from 1 species
UACGGGGGGGGCAAGCGUUGUUCGGAAUUACUGGGCGUAAAGGGCGCGUAGGCGGCCUGCUAAGUCGGAUGUGAAAUCCCUCGGCUCAACCGAGGAACUGCAUCCGAUACUGGCGGGCUUGAAUCCGGGAGAGGGAUGUGGAAUUCCAGGUGUAGCGGUGAAAUGCGUAGAUAUCUGGAGGAACACCGGUGGCGAAGGCGGCAUCCUGGACCGGUAUUGACGCUGGGGCGCGAAAGCUAGGGGAGCAAACGGG